AGCAGCAAAAAUAAAUAUACAUGGCCAAACAUCGUUUUUACAAAAAGUUAAUAAAUGAACCUAUUAAAUGUACUAGUGUACGAUGGAUGUAAGGAAAUUAGGGCUGUAUAAAGAGAUAGGUUGCUAUAAAAAAUAUUUCGUCAGUCUACCAUUCACAACUGUACCUUCAACUUGAAUAUAAUUCAAUCUCAUGAGUAAAAUUAUAAAAUAAUAAAAAAAAAACGAAGAUUUAGUAUUAAAAAUCUCCAUAAAUGUGUUUGGAAAACGCUGGACACUGAAAUUUUAACG